rnacentral:rRNA from 1 species
UACGAAGGGGGCUAGCGUUGCUCGGAAUCACUGGGCGUAAAGCGCACGUAGGCGGCUUUCUAAGUCAGGGGUGAAAUCCUGGAGCUCAACUCCAGAACUGCCUUUGAUACUGGAGAGCUUGAGUCCGGGAGAGGUGAGUGGAACUCCGAAGUGUAGAGGUGAAAUUCGUAGAUAUUACGGAGAAACACCAAGUGGCGAAGGGA